rnacentral:rRNA from 1 species
CUAUCUACAGGCUUAACACAUGCAAGUCGAGGGGCAGCAUGGUCUUAGCUUGCUAAGGCCGAUGGCGACCGGCGCACGGGUGAGUAACACGUAUCCAACCUGCCGUCUACUCUUGGACAGCCUUCUGAAAGGAAGAUUAAUACAAGAUGGCAUCAUGAGUCCGCAUGUUCACAUGAUUAAAGGUAUUCCGGUAGACGAUGGGGAUGCGUUCCAUUAGAUAGUAGGCGGGGUAACGGCCCACCUAGUCUUCGAUGGAUAGGGGUUCUGAGAGGAAGGUCCCCCACAUUGGAACUGAGACACGGUCCAAACUCCUACGGGAGGCAGCAGUGAGGAAUAUUGGUCAAUGGGCGAGAGCCUGAACCAGCCAAGUAGCGUGAAGGAUGACUGCCCUAUGGGUUGUAAACUUCUUUUAUAAAGGAAUAAAGUCGGGUAUGGAUACCCGUUUGCAUGUACUUUAUGAAUAAGGAUCGGCUAACUCCGUGCCAGCAGCCGCGGUAAUACGGAGGAUCCGAGCGUUAUCCGGAUUUAUUGGGUUUAAAGGGAGCGUAGAUGGAUGUUUAAGUCAGUUGUGAAAGUUUGCGGCUCAACCGUAAAAUUGCAGUUGAUACUGGAUAUCUUGAGUGCAGUUGAGGCAGGCGGAAUUCGUGGUGUAGCGGUGAAAUGCUUAGAUAUCACGAAGAACUCCGAUUGCGAAGGCAGCCUGCUAAGCUGCAACUGACAUUGAGGCUCGAAAGUGUGGGUAUCAAACAGGAUUAGAUACCCUGGUAGUCCACACGGUAAACGAUGAAUACUCGCUGUUUGCGAUAUACUGCAAGCGGCCAAGCGAAAGCGUUAAGUAUUCCACCUGGGGAGUACGCCGGCAACGGUGAAACUCAAAGGAAUUGACGGGGGCCCGCACAAGCGGAGGAACAUGUGGUUUAAUUCGAUGAUACGCGAGGAACCUUACCCGGGCUUAAAUUGCAGAUGAAUUACGGUGAAAGCCGUAAGCCGCAAGGCAUCUGUGAAGGUGCUGCAUGGUUGUCGUCAGCUCGUGCCGUGAGGUGUCGGCUUAAGUGCCAUAACGAGCGCAACCCUUGUUGUCAGUUACUAACAGGUUCCGCUGAGGACUCUGACAAGACUGCCAUCGUAAGAUGUGAGGAAGGUGGGGAUGACGUCAAAUCAGCACGGCCCUUACGUCCGGGGCUACACACGUGUUACAAUGGGGGGUACAGAGGGCCGCUACCACGCGAGUGGAUGCCAAUCCCCAAAACCUCUCUCAGUUCGGACUGGAGUCUGCAACCCGACUCCACGAAGCUGGAUUCGCUAGUAAUCGCGCAUCAGCCACGGCGCGGUGAAUACGUUCCCGGGCCUUGCACACACCGCCCGUCAAGCCAUGGGAGCCGGGGGUACCUGAAGUGCGUAACCGCGAGGAGCGCCCUAGGGUAAAACUGGUGACUGGGG